rnacentral:rRNA from 1 species
GACGAACCGUGCGAACGUUAUUCGGAAUCACUGGGCUUAAAGCGCGUGUAGGCGGCCCGGCACGUCCGUCGCUGAAAUCCCCCCGGCUCAACCGGGGAAGUGGCGUGGAUACGGCCGGGCUGGAGGGGGGGUAGGGGGGGAGCCGGAACGUUCCGGUGGGAGCGGUGAAAUGCGUUGAGAUCGGAAGGAACGCCCGUGGCGAAAGCGGGCUCCUGGACCCCACCUGACGCUGAGACGCGAAAGCCAGGGGGAGCGAACGGG